rnacentral:lncRNA from 1 species
CUCGCUUUGGCCUGGGCUGAGUGUCUCUUCCCCACAGAGCUCUCCUGACCUUGGCAGAGGAAGUUCGGGCAGGGAUUUGAACAAUUUAACCAGGAAUGAAAUAGCACAAUCCCUGCCUGAGAAAGAAAAACAAAACUCAAGAUGACACCACCCUCCAAAAUAAAACAACCCCCUGCUGGCACCCUUUCCCAGCGCUGGGACUAAGAGGGGACCAUGGAGUGAGUUACUGAAGUGCCCGUCACCUGCUUGGAGGUUCCAGGAGGGGGUGGCUGCUGCUGGAGGAAGCAGGCAGGAGGACUCCGUGUCCCCCACUCUCCACCCAGCACCCCCAAGCUUUGCUACUGCUCAUGGUUCUCAUUCCCGAGAAGUCUCCCGCUUAGGGAGGUCCUGAUGGAUGCUGAGCACUUGGUCAUGACUCCAUCUCCCAAGCUACGAAGAGGUCUGGAAUCGGGACUCAGACAGGGAGCAGCAAAGGGAAUUCCCUGGCUGACAGCUUUCUAAAUGCCCCUUUCCUUAUUGAGCCAGGAGACACAAUGUUGGGCCAGUCUGUGCCCAGGCUGGGGAAAGGGUGAUGUGGGCAGUGUCUUGUCUUAGUCUUUGAACCAUACCCUCCCCAACGUAGUUGAGAGUAGUGACCCAGGUCAAAAAAAUCACUCCUCCUACCCUUUCAGUUAGAGAGAGAAACCACUUUCUGCUACUGCCUCACAUCUUCAUUCAUACUUUGACUAUGGCUUUCAACUCACUGAUAGUCAUCUCUGUCUGCCUCUACCAGCCAAUGUGCUGAAUGAAAGUUCACAACCAGCUCUUCAGAAAAAAUGUAAGCACACCUACACAUAACUAGGUUUAUUAUACUGCACUGGUAUAAAGGAUGUGUAUCAAACACACACUUAUUAUCACAUAAAAAUAACACACAGUAUCCUUUCUUAUGCAUUUCAUAUGGUCAUUGACUCUCACAGAUUGCU